AUUGAACGCUGGCGGCAUGCCUUACACAUGCAAGUCGAACGGUAACAGGUCUUCGGAUGCUGACGAGUGGCGAACGGGUGAGUAAUACAUCGGAACGUGCCUAGUAGUGGGGGAUAACUACUCGAAAGAGUGGCUAAUACCGCAUGAGAUCUACGGGUGAAAGCAGGGGAUCGCAAGACCUUGUGCUACUAGAGCGGCCGAUGGCAGAUUAGGUAGUUGGUGGGAUAAAAGCUUACCAAGCCGACGAUCUGUAGCUGGUCUGAGAGGACGAUCAGCCACACUGGGACUGAGAAACGGCCCAGACUCCUACGGGAGGCAGCAGUGGGGAAUUUUGGACAAUGGGCGCAAGCCUGAUCCAGCAAUGCCGCGUGCAGGAUGAAGGCCUUCGGGUUGUAAACUGCUUUUGUGCGGAACGAAAAGCCCUGGGUUAAUACCCUGGGGUCAUGACGGUACCGUAAGAAUAAGCACCGGCUAACUACGUGCCAGCCGCCGCAGUAAGAC
rnacentral:rRNA from 1 species